AGCAAGUGAGUGGUGCUGGGGUGCUGGGGAGGACCGUCCUGGCCAGCAGGGGCCUCACAGUCUAGUAAUAAGGACACAGCAAUUACAGGAACUUCUAGAGCCAGUUCUCUUCAGGAGCAUGCCAGGCUGAAGCUUUGUCCUAUGGAGAAGCAGAAAAGGUCAGAGGAGGAGAAAGAAAGAGCCCUUCCCGGUCAAGGAGCCAGCCAGGGAGGGAGACAAAAGGAAGGAGGCUCCAUGGAGGUGCAAUGUGAUUAGCUGGCCUUCUGCUCUGACCACCGUGACUUCCCUGCCUGAAACCAUGUCUUCCCCUCCAUGAUACAAGUCACAAGAUGAAAUAAAUCCUUCCUUCCCUAAAAUGGGUAUUUUUGUCUCAUCAACAAGAAAGUUAACUUAUGUAAAGCUGGCUCUAGGGAAGUCAUUAGGAUUUGAUGAGGUCAUGAGACUAAGGUCCUGGUGAUGGUAGUAGUGGCUUUUGUAGAAGGAAAGGAGGAGGAGAAGGAGAAGGAAGAAGAGGAGGAGGAGGAGGAAAAGGAAGAGGAAAAGGAAGAGGAGGAGGAAGAGGAGGAGGAGGAGGAAAAGGAAGAGGAGGAGGAAGAGGAGGAGGAAGAGGAGGAGGAUCCAUGCUGUCUCACCACAUUGCCCCCUGGUUAUACUAUGAUGUUUCAGAUGAGUCUUCAUCAGAUGCCAGGCAGAGCUGGCACCAUGCUUGGGCUUUCAGCCUCCAGAAAAAUAGCAAAAGAAAUUUCUAUUCUGUUCUCUUUUCCAGAAAAACAAGCAACAACAAUAAAACCCCACAUUUGUUCUAAAGCAAUGAUAGAUAAAGAGAAACCUCUUCUUUUCAUAAUGACAACAGAUAAACACAGAAAGAAUAUGGAGUUCUUUUAAAAAAUAAAAUCACAAAUUUGCCAACAUUCUAAUAAAAGUUAUUAAGAUACAGGAUCAUCAAAUGAUACUAAAUCUAGGAAGGGCAGGUGUGAGGAGCUACAGAAUUGUCAAGACAAUAUCAGCAUUUCUUAUAAAACAGUAACUGGGAGAAAUAGUAACUAGACAAUGCAGAAAAUAGACAACCUCUUUUCUGUGUGAUGGAAAUUAACACCAAUAACAAGGACUAUUCUGCUCAUCUGAGCUUGGUACCCAGGGUUGCAUCACUUAAUAGUAUUCUCACCCACACCACACAAUCCAAAUCUACCCACGAGGAAACAUCAGGAAACUCCAGUGAAGCUGAUCGUCUUCAAAGACAUCAAUACAACAAAAGACUGGAAAGGGCAGAGGAAUGGCUCCAGAUCAGCAUCAUGACAGCACAAUCUACAAUCCCAGACUGGAUCCCGCCUCUGAGAAAUUACCAGCAGAGCAAAUGAAAUCGGAAUAGAGACUGCAGAUCAGAUGAAAGUCCCGUCUGAAUGGGAGACUGCAGGAUUUAUAUGCUUCAGUGAGACUGUGUGCUUGCUCUUGUGAAGGCAGUACCAAUGAAGACCUGCAUAGGAGGGCCUGAGUCUGCUCAUUGGACCAACUUGUGAGAGGAAAGUAUUCAGGUAUUUGUGUCAAGGUGUAUAAUCAAGUUGACAAAACCCACCAUCAUCCUAGAGGGAUGCUGUCCAAGGAGCCUCGCUUGCUUGGUGAAACACUCUCUUGUGGGUAGAUCCCUACAAGUUGGCUACCUGGUAAGCUUUGUGGGUUCUCCAUCCGGUUUACUCUGUUUUUAGGGGCACCUCUGAAGAUAGCUGUAUGAAGAUGAGGAAAACCCCACAGAUUUCACAAGCAUCUCUACAAGACUUCCUGUUUUCCACUUCUCCAUUUGUCAGACUCAGCCCAUUAACUGUGGUUCAGUUUUGGUCCAAAGCUUUCUAUCGGACUCCUCUGCUAGCCAAGGAGUACAGUCUUAUCUGAAUCCCAGAGGCACAUGCCCUGAGUAUCCCACCACUUGAAGAUUGCUAGUGAGGUCAGAGGUGAUAUUAGCAAAUGUGAUUUUCCAAUACUGAACCAUGAAAUAUGUCACCGUUUGCAAAAUAAGUGCAGCACAGGUAACCGAUAUUUCCAGGUGAUCAAUUCAUGAUGUAAAAUUCCAUCAAAGAAUAAGACGGAUCAAUGGAUUUUAAUGUAACAGCAUAUUAAAAGGUUUCCAAGCUGUAACUCAAUUUAAGAAACUACCAUUUGUUGAAUGUUGCUAUAAUUUCCAUGAAAGCCCACACUUAGCAGAAUGCAAUCAAAGCAAAUAUCCCUCACUUUUCUACCUCCUUGACUGCGUGAGGCCAUGUUGGAUUCGUAUACUCAUAUAAAACAAUAUGACAACAGACUAUCUAAACACCUCUAUAGCCACUGAGCUAAUUUCUAUUAAGAAAGACACUAAAGGGAUUUUUGAAAUUGGAAAACUCAGCAUCCUGGGCAUUGUGGUGUGCACACCUACAUGGCAGCAGCCAGCACUUGGGGAAUGAAGGCAAAAGGUACAAGGCCAGCCUUGGGCUAAUAAGGAGAGUUCAACUCUGGCCUAGGUCAUAUAAUACCUUGUCUCAAAACAAACAAAAGAUCAAAAAAAGUAAAAUCA
rnacentral:lncRNA from 1 species